GUUGAAGUUCGAGCAAGUUCGAGCAUCGGAGUGGGCUUGUCUCCUAAACCUCCAUGGUUGGCGCGGGUUCUUUCUCCAGCACUCUUGGUGGCAGCCAUGGUGUUGGUCGUGUAUAUUGCACAGGUCGACAAGGCGACUACUACGUCAUGGUCAUGGAUAUGCUCGGGCCAAGUCUCCGGGAUGUCUAGAACUCUUCG